GUACACAAAAAUGCACAUAUUGUGAGCUCGAUGAGUAGGGCGGGACACGUGGUAUCCUGUCUGAAUAUGGGGGGACCAUCCUCCAAGGCUAAAUACUCCUGACUGACCGAUAGUGAACCAGUACCGUGAGGGAAAGGCGAAAAGAACCCCGGCGAGGGGAGUGAAAAAGAACCUGAAACCGUGUACGUACAAGCAGUGGGAGCCUCUUUAUGGGGUGACUGCGUACCUUUUGUAUAAUGGGUCAGCGACUUAUAUUCUGUAGCAAGGUUAACCGAAUAGGGGAGCCGAAGGGAAACCGAGUCUUAACUGGGCGUUAAGUUGCAGGGUAUAGACCCGAAACCCGGUGAUCUAGCCAUGGGCAGGUUGAAGGUUGGGUAACACUAACUGGAGGACCGAACCGACUAAUGUUGAAAAAUUAGCGGAUGACUUGUGGCUGGGGGUGAAAGGCCAAUCAAACCGGGAGAUAGCUGGUUCUCCCCGAAAGCUAUUUAGGUAGCGCCUCGUGAAUUCAUCUCCGGGGGUAGAGCACUGUUUCGGCAAGGGGGUCAUCCCGACUUACCAACCCGAUGCAAACUGCGAAUACCGGAGAAUGUUAUCACGGGAGACACACGGCGGGUGCUAACGUCCGUCGUGAAGAGGGAAACAACCCAGACCGCCAGCUAAGGUCCCAAAGUCAUGGUUAAGUGGGAAACGAUGUGGGAAGGCCCAGACAGCCAGGAUGUUGGCUUAGAAGCAGCCAUCAUUUAAAGAAAGCGUAAUAGCUCACUGGUCGAGUCGGCCUGCGCGGAAGAUGUAACGGGGCUAAACCAUGCACCGAAGCUGCGGCAGCGACACUAUGUGUUGUUGGGUAGGGGAGCGUUCUGUAAGCCUGUGAAGGUGGCCUGUGAGGGUUGCUGGAGGUAUCAGAAGUGCGAAUGCUGACAUAAGUAACGAUAAAGCGGGUGAAAAGCCCGCUCGCCGGAAGACCAAGGGUUCCUGUCCAACGUUAAUCGGGGCAGGGUGAGUCGACCCCUAAGGCGAGGCCGAAAGGCGUAGUCGAUGGGAAACAGGUUAAUAUUCCUGUACUUGGUGUUACUGCGAAGGGGGGACGGAGAAGGCUAUGUUGGCCGGGCGACGGUUGUCCCGGUUUAAGCGUGUAGGCUGGUUUUCCAGGCAAAUCCGGAAAACCAAGGCUGAGGCGUGAUGACGAGGCACUACGGUGCUGAAGCGACAAAUGCCCUGCUUCCAGGAAAAGCCUCUAAGCAUCAGGUAACAUCAAAUCGUACCCCAAACCGACACAGGUGGUCAGGUAGAGAAUACCAAGGCGCUUGAGAGAACUCGGGUGAAGGAACUAGGCAAAAUGGUGCCGUAACUUCGGGAGAAGGCACGCUGAUAUGUAGGUGAAGCGACUUGCUCGUGGAGCUGAAAUCAGUCGAAGAUACCAGCUGGCUGCAACUGUUUAUUAAAAACACAGCACUGUGCAAACACGAAAGUGGACGUAUACGGUGUGACGCCUGCCCGGUGCCGGAAGGUUAAUUGAUGGGGUUAGCGGUAACGCGAAGCUCUUGAUCGAAGCCCCGGUAAACGGCGGCCGUAACUAUAACGGUCCUAAGGUAGCGAAAUUCCUUGUCGGGUAAGUUCCGACCUGCACGAAUGGCGUAAUGAUGGCCAGGCUGUCUCCACCCGAGACUCAGUGAAAUUGAACUCGCUGUGAAGAUGCAGUGUACCCGCGGCAAGACGGAAAGACCCCGUGAACCUUUACUAUAGCUUGACACUGAACAUUGAGCCUUGAUGUGUAGGAUAGGUGGGAGGCUUUGAAGUGUGGACGCCAGUCUGCAUGGAGCCGACCUUGAAAUACCACCCUUUAAUGUUUGAUGUUCUAACGUUGGCCCGUAAUCCGGGUUGCGGACAGUGUCUGGUGGGUAGUUUGACUGGGGCGGUCUCCUCCUAAAGAGUAACGGAGGAGCACGAAGGUUGGCUAAUCCUGGUCGGACAUCAGGAGGUUAGUGCAAUGGCAUAAGCCAGCUUGACUGCGAGCGUGACGGCGCGAGCAGGUGCGAAAGCAGGUCAUAGUGAUCCGGUGGUUCUGAAUGGAAGGGCCAUCGCUCAACGGAUAAAAGGUACUCCGGGGAUAACAGGCUGAUACCGCCCAAGAGUUCAUAUCGACGGCGGUGUUUGGCACCUCGAUGUCGGCUCAUCACAUCCUGGGGCUGAAGUAGGUCCCAAGGGUAUGGCUGUUCGCCAUUUAAAGUGGUACGCGAGCUGGGUUUAGAACGUCGUGAGACAGUUCGGUCCCUAUCUGCCGUGGGCGCUGGAGAACUGAGGGGGGCUGCUCCUAGUACGAGAGGACCGGAGUGGACGCAUCACUGGUGUUCGGGUUGUCAUGCCAAUGGCACUGCCCGGUAGCUAAAUGCGGAAGAGAUAAGUGCUGAAAGCAUCUAAGCACGAAACUUGCCCCGAGAUGAGUUCUCCCUGACUCCUUGAGAGUCCUGAAGGAACGUUGAAGACGACGACGUUGAUAGGCCGGGUGUGUAAGCGCAGC
rnacentral:rRNA from 1 species